CACUGUGCCGUGCCUAUGCCUAUGCCUAUUCAUCCCUGCACAAACUGAUCAAAAGCAAAUGCAAGCUGGCUACUAGUUGCUUUUACGGGAUUCAUCUUUCAAGACAAAUUUCAACUUCCAAUAUAUUAUUUGAAAUUUUUAAUAGUAACCUCAUAUUUAGUAAAAGGCAGCAAGGCAAAUGAAAGUGAUAUGGAGCAAUGAAACUAAAGCUCCACCAAAUAAACUACAAAACAAAUGAAACACUAUAUUAAAAGAGAUGAAGAACAAAGACUAACUUGAGAGACACAGAUUUGUAUAUAGUGGUGAAGAAGAAGAUGGCGGGUGUAACAGUUGAUGGCGGUUGACGGCGGUUACCGGUGGAAGCUAGAGUGACGUUACAAAGCAAAGGUCAAUGACAACUACAUUUGAAACAGAAAGGCAGCAACAAAAUAGAGCCAAACACUGCAUCAGAAACAGAGAGGCAGAGAGGCAACAACAGCAACAAAUUAAAAAUUAUUGUAAUUUAAUUUAGUUUGGUUUAAAUCUUAUUUUAAUUUUGCCUUUAUUUUAGUUUGUAAUUUGAUUUGGUUUUAAAACUCUAAUUAGAUAAAAAUGUAAAUUUAUGAUACAUAAUAAAAUUAUUUAUU